AGGCGCGUAGCUCAGUUGGUUAGAGCGUUGCCUUGACAUGGCAAAGGUCGGUGGUUCGACUCCACUCGCGCCUACCA
rnacentral:tRNA from 2 species